rnacentral:tRNA from 1 species
GGGGUUGUGGCUCAGUGGUAGAGUACAUGCCUAGCAUGCAUGAGGCACUGGGUUGAUCCUCAGCACCA